UUAUAUUUAAUAACACGUAAAAGCACGUACCCUAAUAUAAUCUAACGUCACAUUUGAAAUUGUCGGUUAAACUCUCUGCAAAUGAAGAGUCGCUACGUAUAUAGCGACGCUUAUGCCAAGCGUCAGUAAAAUAUAUUCUGAUAUUUUAAAGCGUCAGGAUUUUUUUAAAUUCUGAUAUUUUAAAGUGUCAAAAAAUUAAAAAUAACAGUAAAAUUUAUCAAUUUAAUAAAUUAGUUUGAUAUAACAAAGAGUUCAUAUGACGACACUUUUUGAAUUGUCGGUAUUUGCUAUAUUUUUGGGACGCUUCCUCC
rnacentral:lncRNA from 1 species